CAUUUUCGUGACGAGACAAAUGCGACCGCAACCCUCUUCGAGGAAGGAAUGAAAGACGGCCAUGUUUAGCGCUAUUUUGCUGGUGCUUUGCGCCUUUCUUAUGCUGUGUUGGGUGACAGAAAUCGAACUUUUCGGCCUGUACCUGGUACAGAGAUACACCUGGGAUGAGCUGUACCCUAUCAUAUACCUGUGGGCUGAACGGCCUGAGGAUCAGCGCCAGAGACGAGUUCGUCAUUUCUGAUAUGCCCAGAAAAAUCCACUGUGGAGGAACAAUGUCCUUUCUGACAGAAAGUGAAGACCAUUCUGAUGCACCCAAAAUCCAUUGCAAAGUCCCCAAUCUUGAGACCUUAACUUACCCAAGAGAUAUUGAAGUCCAUCCCUACGCAAGUACUACAUAUACCAGUGAAGAAAGUGGCAACAACAGAGGACAACCUUUGCAGGUGAAGGAAGGUGCAAAGCAGCAACAAGACAACAAGUGGAACUGUGAUUCUGAUGAAGGACUGAAAGUUGAUGUGCCUCCCUGCAAGGAAUCGCCCUCCGUAGAAGACAAUGUAGAAGACCCCCAGAGAAAAGUCACAGAAGUAGAUAACUGUUGCACCAAGAAAACUUCAUGUGACAGCUUCAGGAUGGAAGAAGCACCACUGUACAACUGUAUGUCCCAAGAACAGACAAGAAGACAAGUCAGACAUAAAAAAUUAACUGUUAAAGUAAGGGCCAAGCUAGUUCACCGCAAUUUAGGUAUAGUAGAGGGUGAAAAGAAGAGCAAAUCAACAAAACUAUGUGUAAUACAAAGUCAGGAAAAGAAGAUAUGGAUAUUGUUUAACAAUUAUUUAAAUGUGUACAGCUGCAUGGUUUUGGCAAGUAUAUUACAACAACUGUGUAUGUGCAGAUUAAGUAUUGAAAGGUGAUAGAUCUAAAGAAGUGUAAGAAAAAUUCCAAAUGUGAUUCACUAUGUUGCAGAUAACACGGUAAAAGCACAAACCAGUAGAAAGAUGGACGUGUGUUCAAAAACACACAUAAGUAAGUUUAGGUUGCUUGUGCUAGGUAGAUAGAUUGAAACACAAUCUUUUGUUGCCAAAGAAAUUGUUGAGAACUAGCACUGUCAACUGUAUCUUGAUUCUUAUGCUACCAAUGGAAUUGUUUUCUUUUUGUUUUUAAGGAAAUUCAGAUAUUUCGUAUCUGUUAAGUUUUUAGAGUUACCAGUAUUCCAUGGAAGCCAAGUGACUAGUUAAAAGUACAAGUAAUUGUUGUUACAAAUAUCAUCUUAUGUAUUAUUAUGCAAAGCCAGGCAUGGAAAAUGAGGUUCUCGUCAUGUUGAAAAAUAUGUUUGCAGCCAAAACAGUUCCAUAUUACUCUAGAACUAGUAGUAGCAGUACAAUGGGGAAGCAUUCUCAGUGUUACUCGCUGUCAAAAUUUCACCACAAUGACCUUGAGGAGAAUACCACUGCAAACAACAGUCAAUAGCUGGUUAUUGUAAUGAUGAUGUCAUGUAAAUUUUGUAAAUGUACAAAAAUCUUGCUUGUGGUGCUGCCGCUGCUGCUCAAAGUAUAGAUGGCCAAAAUUUAUUUAUUAGAAGUUUAAAUAUCUGAUUAACCUGUGUAAUAAAGUACAGUCAAAACUGCCCAAGAUGACCACUCAGGGGACUGAUAAGUGACAGGUGGUGACUGUAGACGAUGGAAAAAAUUAUCUAAGGCACCACCAAAAAGUGGCCAGGUGGUCCUUCAGUAGAAGUGGUGUCUUGUUCAGAUCUGACUGUACUGCUCUUGUGAUUGGAUAUUUUCGAAAAGCAUGAAUGAAGUACUCUCCAAGCCCAGGCCUUAAAGUAAAGGUACGGCAGCGAGACAUCAAGAAAACAGUACAAAAUAGAAAGGCUGAUAAAAACGUUUAAAAAAGCCUAACCUCUGCUUGGAGAGAAUGAAUGAAGGGUGCAGGUUACAUUGUUGUUUUGCAUUGUGAACAGAAGCUACCUGAAGAACAGGUCAGCUUGACCUUCAGUAUUUAUAUAUGUAUGCCCCCUGGUGAGAUAAAUCAAGUGAAGCGUAGUGAGACUUGCUUGUAAGGCUACAGUCUGAUGAACAGUGAGAAUGGUACUGUAAAGCUUGAAACUGAAGCAGUGGUUUUAUGUUGGGGUACGAUGAAAAAGGGUGCUUUAAUUCACAUUGGAAACAAACCUGCUUACAGUAUACGACUACUAUGCGUCAUUAAGAAUACAUAUUUACAGUGUCAUGAAUUUGUGGUGGAGGUCACUGCAAAAUAAAACCAAUGCAAAAGUUUCAAAGAUUUACAGUACAGUUUGUAAGUCUACGUGAUUGGUGCAUUGUACUUUAUCUUUGACAUAAACAACAGCCCUAGGCCAUUGUAGAAAGAGCACUUUGUUGUCAAGUCUGUCCCCAAAAAAA